rnacentral:lncRNA from 1 species
UGAAGCUAUUCUAGGGUUUGUAAAAUCCAUCAGCGAUGAAAAAUAUGGAGCAGCAGUCCUCGAAGGGUCUAGUAUUAACCCCAUCCGGACAUGAAACACAAUCAGCAAACUCGGUAAGAGAAUACUCAGGUCCCCCAAUCCCUGAUGAUCUACUUAUGGAGAUAUUCUCCAGAGUCCCGGCAAAGUCUAUAGCUAGGUUUCGUUGCGUUUCGAAAUUCUUGGCAUCCAUAUUUUGCCGUCCUGAUUUUACUGACUUGUUUUUGACUAUGUCUUUGACUCGUCCACGGUUCCUUUUCGCCUUAGAAGCUGAUAAAACGUUGUUCUUAUACUCUGCACCUCAGCCUCAUAAUCCAAACGAUAACUCUUCUCUUGUAGCCACCCCUUAUCAAACGCUUAUCUUUCCAGAAUAUAUUGGAUUUGAUAACCCUAGAACACUCUGUGGGUUGGUAUUACUUCGGCAGAUGCGGGUGAUUUGUAACUUUACAUUGUGCAAACAAAGAUUAUGGGAAAUUCAUAGUAAGAAGUAUAUAAUAAAUAAAAUAUUAUUUUGCAAAGUUCUCCAAAGAAAAAUAAGUUAAAAUUUUCAUUUUGAAAUUGAAUAGAAGUACUGCCAAAGAAGUUCUAAUUAGUCUAUAACUAACUUCCAUAAUCAAGAAUGCAUAACCUCUUCAAAGGCUGUGCAGUUCAAAUCUACGUAUUCUAAAUAAAGACCAAUUGAUCCAGAGAGUCUUGUCAAACUCUUUGAAGUGGAGAAGAUCAGAAGAAAUGGUGAGUAGGAUAUGAUAGAAUAUGCCUCCUAUAUUCUUGCAUAUUCUAUCAGGAUACUCAUGCUCAUAACCAUUGUAGUCAUAAUAGAGCCUCUCCCCUUUUCGAUAUAUCGCGUGUAGCCACUAGAAGAACCCGACACUCUCCAUUCACGCUGUACCUCACGCAUUUACAGUUCUGCUUCUUCUUACCAAACCUGCAACCAUCAUCAAGUGAUGUGAUGAUGAUGAUGAUGAUUUCCAAAAGGUUGUAUAAAGAUACUAAAUCUUGAUUUACCUGUUGUGAUUGUUGAUGCCACUGAUGAAUCGAGAUAUGUAUCCAUACUUGUCAGGACAAAUAACGAGAGUUUUCGAUGGAUCUUCAGAUAGAAGGAGAGUCAUGAUGCUGUCACAAUCGUCAUUUUCACGGUUCUUUAAGUAGUCAACAUCCCCUGUAUAUUCAGCUAUGAAUGUUAAGUCCUUAAUUGGACCAUCUGCUUCAACUGUGUAACUAUAUUAGACCGAAACAAAAGAAAUGUUUAGGAACUUGUUUAGUGAAAAGAUUCUAAUAGCUCACCGACUAUGUUUCGGCCCCAAUAAAGCCCAUUUAGGAAUGUUGCAUAUAAAGUUUAGUCAAUUCUACGGUUUCAUUCGUCUUAAGCACUGAAGCUAUUCUAGGGUUUGUAAAAUCCAUCAGCGAUGAAAAAUAUGGAGCAGCAGUCCUCGAAGGGUCUAGUAUUAACCCCAUCCGGACAUGAAACACAAUCAGCAAACUCGGUAAGAGAAUACUCAGGUCCCCCAAUCCCUGAUGAUCUACUUAUGGAGAUAUUCUCCAGAGUCCCGGCAAAGUCUAUAGCUAGGUUUCGUUGCGUUUCGAAAUUCUUGGCAUCCAUAUUUUGCCGUCCUGAUUUUACUGACUUGUUUUUGACUAUGUCUUUGACUCGUCCACGGUUCCUUUUCGCCUUAGAAGUUGAUAAAACGUUGUUCUUAUACUCUGCACCUCAGCCUCAUAAUCCAAACGAUAACUCUUCUCUUGUAGCCACCCCUUAUCAAACGCUUAUCUUUCCAGAAUAUAUUGGAUUUGAUAACCCUAGA